UAAUUUCCGGCGAGUCUGCGUCUUUUCUCCGGUGUAGACCGAUGUCUCGCACCGGAGCUUCUCUCAUUCGUUCUGAAUUUCGAGCUCGCCUUCUUUUCUCGCGGAUUUCUCCCGCCGCGGCUCCUGAUUACUCCAGCCGUCGGCGAGGUUCGCUGCCGCCGCCUCUAAAAUGGAAGACCGGCGAGCGGCACCGCCACCCUCCCCCUUCUCUUUUCACACUCUAUAUACCUCUUGAAGAACCCCCAAAAUAAAAGCCCUAAUUUUAUCGUCAUAGCUCGCCGCCGCUGAGGUCCGUCUGUGGAUCGCCGAGGCAGGCGUCGGUUUGGGGUUCAUCGACCUGCUGAUGUAUCGCCACGCCGUCGACUCGGUGAAGUCCAACGAGUGGACGCUGCUCUGUCCUACCAUCCCGUUUGACUUGAUCUCUUCUGAGAGCGCUGCUGCCGCCAUCGAGUUCCGGUGAUUGCCAUCUCCUUUACUUCUCCCGCCGUCGACUUCUCGCAGGCAUCCCGCGUUCUUUCCCCACCCCGGUUUCUCACAAGUAAAAGGGGAAGUUCCUCACAAAAGGAACGAUUAUGGAGAAUGUAGGGCCAAGUCUUACCCUUGAAAUCAGGCAGCAGCUGAAUGAAGCUCCUCAUUUUGCUUGAUGAUGCACGAAGAAGGAAGAAAUGAAGAGGAGAUUUAUCUGCUGAAAAUAUGAAGGAAGAAGUUGUUGGCUAUACUUCAUAUGAGGGACUUGGAAAAGAUGGAAGGCAGGAAUAGGGUGGCUGAAUGUUCAGCUACUUCUGUACCUUAGCAUGGCUUGCCAUGAAAUGGUGCUGCAGAGGAAGGAAAUAAUCUGCUGUAUUUAUAUUAUUUGAUUUGUGUAAUCUGGAUCUUUAAUUAUCCCAUCGGCUCUUGCUAAAUAACAACGCCUCGUCGUAAAUAUCUACGAAUUAAA